rnacentral:rRNA from 1 species
UACGGAGGGUGCAAGCGUUAUCCGGAUUCACUGGGUUUAAAGGGUGCGUAGGUGGUUUGGUAAGUCAGUGGUGAAAUCGUCCGGCCCAACCGGACACGUGCCAAUGAUACUGCCGAACUCGAGUGCGUGAGGGGUGGGGGGAACGAGCAGUGUAGCGGUGAAAUGCGUAGAUAUUGCUCGGAAGGCCAAAGCCGAAGGGACCCCACUGGUACGUAACUGACACUGAGGCACGAAAGCGUGGGGAGCAAACAGG